AAUCCAUAGGUUAAUGAGGCGAACCGGGGGAACUGAAACAUCUAAGUACCCCGAGGAAAAGAAAUCAACCGAGAUUCCCCCAGUAGCGGCGAGCGAACGGGGAGGAGCCCAGAGCCUGAAUCAGCAUGUGUGUUAGUGGAAGCGUCUGGAAAGGCGCGCGAUACAGGGUGACAGCCCCGUACACAAAAGCGCAUGUGCUGUGAGCUCGAUGAGUAGGGCGGGACACGUGGUAUCCUGUCUGAAUAUGGGGGGACCAUCCUCCAAGGCUAAAUACUCCUGACUGACCGAUAGUGAACCAGUACCGUGAGGGAAAGGCGAAAAGAACCCCGGCGAGGGGAGUGAAAAAGAACCUGAAACCGUGUACGUACAAGCAGUGGGAGCACCCUUUGGGUGUGACUGCGUACCUUUUGUAUAAUGGGUCAGCGACUUAUAUUCUGUAGCAAGGUUAACCGAAUAGGGGAGCCGGAGGGAAACCGAGUCUUAAUUGGGCGUUAAGUUGCAGGGUAUAGACCCGA
rnacentral:rRNA from 1 species